rnacentral:rRNA from 1 species
UACGGGGGGAGCAAGCGUUGUUCGGAUUUACUGGGCGUAAAGGGCGCGUAGGCGGCGCAACAAGUCACUUGUGAAAUCUCCGGGCUUAACUCGGAGCGGCCAAGUGAUACUGUCGUGCUAGAGUGCGGAAGGGGCUACUGGAAUUCUCGGUGUAGCGGUGAAAUGCGUAGAUAUCGAGAGGAACACCUGCGGCGAAGGCGGGUUGCUGGGCUGACACUGACGCUGAAGCGCGAAAGCUAGGGGAGCGAACGGG